rnacentral:tRNA from 1 species
GGAAGUGGCGGAAUUGGUAGACGCACCAGAUUUAGGUUCUGGCGCCGCAAGGUGUGAGAGUUCAAGUCUCUCCUCAUAUUUA